CCACGGGUGGCAGCAGUGAGGAAUAUUGGUCAAUGGCCGUAAGGCUGAACCAGCCAAGUCGCGUGAAGGAAGAAGGAUCUAUGGUUUGUAAACUUCUGUUAUAGGGGAAUAAAGGUAUCCACGUGUGGAUAUUUGCAUGUACCCUAUGAAUAAGCAUCGGCUAACUCCGUGCCAGCAGCCGCGGUAAUACGGAGGAUGCGAGCGUUAUCCGGAUUUAUUGGGUUUAAAGGGUGGGUAGGUUGUUUUUUAAGUCAGCGGUGAAAGUGUGUGGCUCAACCAUAAAAUGGCCGUUGAAAAUGGAAGACUUGAGUGUGUUUGAGGUAGGCGGAAUGCGGGGUGUAGCGGUGAAAUGCAUCGAUAUCACGCAGAACUCCGAUUGCGAAGGCAGCUUACUAAGCCAUAACUGACACUGAAGCACGAAAGCGUGGGGAUCAAACAGGAUUAGAUACCCCAGUAGUC
rnacentral:rRNA from 1 species